UACCCGUAUAUUUUUCUGCCGAG
rnacentral:miRNA from 1 species